UCCCUGGUGGCUCAGACGGUAAAGUGUCUGCCUACUAUGCAGGAGACCCAGGUUCAAUCCCUGGGUUGGGAA
rnacentral:tRNA from 1 species